rnacentral:rRNA from 1 species
GAGUUUGAUCCUGGCUCAGAACGAACGCUGGCGGCGUGCUUAACACAUGCAAGUCGAACGCGAAAGGGACUUCGGUCCUGAGUAAAGUGGCGCACGGGUGAGUAACGCGUGGAUAAUCUACCCAAUGAUCUGGGAUAACAUCUCGAAAGGGGUGCUAAUACCGGAUAAGACCACGGAGUCUCUGGAUUCCGCGGUAAAAAGGUGGGGACCUUCGGGCCUACCGUCAUCGGAUGAGUCCGCGUACCAUUAGCUAGUUGGUGGGGUAAUGGCCCACCAAGGCAACGAUGGUUAGCUGGUCUGAGAGGAUGAAUCAGCCACACUGGAACUGAGACAACGGUCCAGACUCCUACGGGAGGCAGCAGUGGGG